CAAGGAAUAGUUUAUGUAGAAUCUCAGCUUUGGGUGCUGAGGGUGAGGUAUAAUAUCUCUUCCUUGA
rnacentral:tRNA from 1 species